rnacentral:ncRNA from 1 species
UUCUUCAGGGCAGGGUGAAAUUCCCGAUCGGCAGUAAAGUCUGCGAGCGUGUUAUUACGCAGGAUUCGGUGCAAUUCCGAAACCGACAGUCAUAGUCUGGAUGGGAGAAGAA